rnacentral:rRNA from 1 species
AAGUCGUAACAAGGUUUCCGUAGGUGAACCUGCGGAAGGAUCAUUACCGAGUUAGGGUGCCUCGUCGCGCCCGACCUCCAACCCUUUGCUUACUUGACCUAUUUUGUUGCUUCGGCAGGCCCGCCGCCCGGAAACGGGUGGCCGCCGGGGGCGUUUCACCGCCCCGGGCCCGCGCCUGUCGAUGGCCCUAUUAAAACUCUUGUCAAAACGUGUCGUCUGAGUUUAUCUAAACAAAUAAAAACCAAAACUUUCAACAACGGAUCUCUUGGUUCUGGCAUCGAUGAAGAACGCAGCGAAAUGCGAUAAGCAAUGCGAAUUGCAGAAUUCCAGUGAGUCAUCGAAUCUUUGAACGCACAUUGCGCCCUUUGGUAUUCCGAAGGGCAUGCCUGUUCGAGCGUCAUUAUCACCCCUCAAGCCCUCGGCUUGGUGUUGGACGGUUUGGUGGAGGCCCCCUCGGGGGCUCCUGCCCCUCCCAAAGACAAUGACGGCGGCCUCGUUGGACCCCCGGUACACUGAGUUCUUCACGGAACACGUAUCGGACACAUGGGUUUACGGGACACGGUCUGCCUCCCCUCAGGGAGAAUCUUUCUAAGGUUGACCUCGGAUCAGGUAGGGAUACCCGCUGAACUUAA